UCAAAGAGAUAACAAGUUCUGGGCAAA
rnacentral:piRNA from 1 species